rnacentral:rRNA from 1 species
GGGGACAACAUCUCGAAAGGGAUGCUAAUACCGCAUACGUCCUACGGGAGAAAGCAGGGGAUCUUCGGACCUUGCGCUAAUAGAUGAGCCUAAGUCGGAUUAGCUAGUUGGUGGGGUAAAGGCCUACCAAGGCGACGAUCUGUAGCGGGUCUGAGAGGAUGAUCCGCCACACUGGGACUGAGACACGGCCCAGACUCCUACGGGAGGCAGCAGUGGGGAAUAUUGGACAAUGGGGGGAACCCUGAUCCAGCCAUGCCGCGUGUGUGAAGAAGGCCUUAUGGUUGUAAAGCACUUUAAGCGAGGAGGAGGCUACUUUAGUUAAUACCUAGAGAUAGUGGACGUUACUCGCAGAAUAAGCACCGGCUAACUCUGUGCCAGCAGCCGCGGUAAUACAGAGGGUGCGAGCGUUAAUCGGAUUUACUGGGCGUAAAGCGUGCGUAGGCGGCUUAUUAAGUCGGAUGUGAAAUCCCCGAGCUUAACUUGGGAAUUGCAUUCGAUACUGGUGAGCUAGAGUAUGGGAGAGGAUGGUAGAAUUCCAGGUGUAGCGGUGAAAUGCGUAGAGAUCUGGAGGAAUACCGAUGGCGAAGGCAGCCAUCUGGCCUAAUACUGACGCUGAGGUACGAAAGCAUGGGGAGCAAACAGGAUUAGAUACCCUGGUAGUCCAUGCCGUAAACGAUGUCUACUAGCCGUUGGGGCCU